UACAGCCAGUUGGCCGACUUGGCUUGUGACUGGCCUCUGAAGUGGGGGGCCCGGGGUGGGGAACCUUGUGGGACUGAGCCUUCACCUGUGGGAUGUGACACGACCCCCAGGUGGACAGUGCUCAACCGAGCUGAAUUGUAGAAGGCCCAGCUGGCAUCAGAGAAUUGCUUGGUGGUGUGGGUGGAAAGCCCACAUUGGAGUGGGAAUCAGAAUUGUUAGCCCCCUAGGCCUGGGGUGCCAGGUCCCUUUAGAGCUCUGGGGCCCUGUCCCCAGCCCCAGCCCCUGCUGGUGGCACUCACACUGCACAGAGAGAUUCAGCGUGCGGUUCUGGGAGCCAAGCCUGUUCUCCGCUCGGCAGGUGUAGCGGCCUGAAUCCCCAGGCCUCACCCCGGGCAGCAGCAGGGCCAGGGGCCUCGGGCUCCAGGGGUGGGACCAAGAGAGGAUUCUGUCCUCCAGGGCCCAGCUCAGGGUGGCAGGGGGCUGGCUCUCGGCAGCACAGAGCAGCUGCAGGAACUGGCCUUUCUGGGCUUCCAGAUACGGACUGUUUCCCUGAGGCUGCGGGGCUGCAGAGACAGAAGCAGAGACGGGGAGAGAGAGAGAGAGAGAGAGAGAGAGAGAGAGAGAGAGAGAGAGGCUGCAGGGAGGAGCAGAGUCUCCCUUGACCUCUGUCUCCCUGACCCUCCACACUCCGCAGAGGACCAACCCCGCCUUCCUAGUCGCCAGUCCCUCAGUACCAACCUGACACCCGGGCUCGGGAAACGCUGAUAACUAGGUCUUUGGGGGCAUCUGCAAAAGAUUGAGAGCUGGCUCAGGGGAGGAACGUGGGGUUCCUCGCAGUCAGAGGGAACCCCCUUGGGGAAAAGAAAGUGUGAUAUCCUCAAGACGCAGGUGACAAAUCGGCGUCAGAGAUGCCUGUGGCGGGGGGGAGCAGAAGGCAUCCCCAAGCCCCUCCCAGGGCUGAGGCAGCGCGUGGGACUCCACACCUGCCCAUCUGGAUGCCCCACCGGCCACACCCCGCCGUGCCCGUCUGUGCACCCUGAUGCCCUGACCACCAGACUCACAGGUGACAUUAAGUUGAACAGUUGUCUCUGCGCUCACGCCCUUUCUGGAGAAGUCUACUCGGCAGGGAGAAUCCUAGGCUCUGAGCCUGAGACCCUGAAGGAGACAGAGGCCUCACGCUGCAGGCCCAGCCCGAGUCCCCACCCAGGCCUCUUCCGGCCCCGCGGCCACUUACCGCCCCACAGCACGGCCAUCAGCAGUGACAGGGCCAUGUCUGCCGGAGGACGCACUUGGACCUGCCCUCAGACGGGCUUGUUCCCCAGAAGGGGAACUACCAGCUGCGGAAGCUGAACCCCAGGCCAGAGAGAGACAGAACAUGAGGGGGGAGGGGCAGAGAGAGACA